rnacentral:RNase_P_RNA from 1 species
GGAGUCGGCCAGGCGAGUCGCGGGUGUCCUGCCUCACGGUGGGAUGCGCGAGGAAAGUCCGGGCUCCACAGGACAAGGCGCCAGGUAACCCCUGGGGGGCGUGAGCCCACGGAAAGUGCAGCAGAGAGUAGACCGCCUGCGUGUCCCUCGGGACGCGUCGGUAAGGGUGAAAGGGUGCGGUAAGAGCGCACCGCACGCGUGGUAACACGGCGUGGCUAGGUAAACCCCGCCUGGAGCAAGGCCAAAUAGGAAUCCCAUGGUGUGGUCCGCACCGGAUUCGGGUAGGCCGCUAAAGGCCUGCGGUGACGCAGGCCGUAGAUGAAUGACCGCCCCCGUGGUCCUCGCGGAUCACGGUGACAGAACCCGGCUUAUCGGCCGACUCCAUGU